UACGUGAGGGUGCAAGCGUUGUCCGGAAUUAUUGGGCGUAAAGAGCUCGUAGGCGGUCAGUCGCGUCUGCUGUGAAAACUCGGGGCUUAACUCCGGGCCUGCAGUGGGUACGGGCUGACUAGAGUGCGGUAGGGGAGACUGGAAUUCCUGGUGUAGCGGUGAAAUGCGCAGAUAUCAGGAGGAACACCGGUGGCGAAGGCAGCUCGCUGGGACGUAACUGACGCUGAGACGCGAAAGCGUGGGGAGCGAACAGG
rnacentral:rRNA from 1 species